rnacentral:lncRNA from 1 species
CUCUUGGCUCGUGCAUCGAUGAAGAACGCAGCCAGCUGCGAUACGUAGUGAAUUGCAGAAUUCAGUGAAUCAUCGAAUCUUUGAACGCAAAUGGCGCUCUUGGUUAUACCGGGAGCAUGUCUGUCUGAGUGUUGGGUAAAAACGAGAAACGAACGCGUUUUCGCGCGUUCGAUUCGAUUGAGGCGUCGCGUUCGAUUGUAAAAUGACAACGCGUCCCUCGAAGUGCAGCACGCGCUCAACACGUCGCCGCGUGAGCAAGGC